GAGAGGUGAUGAAGUUUUCACUUGACAUUAGAGAUAUUUUAUAAAUAUGUCAAGCGUUGGCUUGGCGCCCCGACGUGAUAAAUUGUAUGGCACCGGAAAAUUCAUUAUUUUUUAAAAGUCUGUCAAACUGAUUCUUUGCGGUGGAAAUUUUCCACAUUUCCAUGGACCCAACAAAGACCAGAUCGCUAGAGAAUCGUUUCCGUAAAUUGAGACGCGAUAUUGUGCACAACGCUUGCACUAUGUAGAUUCUUUUAAAUUUGCAUAAAGGAGUUAAGGUGAACAAGUAGUAAUUUAGUUGUAGCUUCAUUUCGGCUUUAAAUUUGCAUUGCAAACUAUUAGAGUCCUGCCCGAUAUUCAAAUUUCUAUCAUAGUUGCAAGCAAAAUAUAGACUGGUUUUGGACGUGAUAAAAUGUUUAACAACGCCGGAUAAAUAUAGUCGUCAAUGUCAUUGCAAGUAUCAAUUGAAGGCGUUCUCAAAAUGCAACCUCAAAUUUUCAAGAAACUAAAACUAUGAGGCGAUUUAGAGAACCGUUUGGAUUAUGUAAAAAUACACUUGUAUAUCAACUGGUGUAGACUUAAGUUUUCGAUGUAGUCGAGUGACAAAAAUUCAAACCGAAAUUGAAAAGUCCAGGCUUAACCGCCUAUUUGUUAGAAAUGUACGCUAAUUUUAAUAAAACAUACACAACUAAAUAUUGAAAA